rnacentral:rRNA from 1 species
AUUGAACGCUGGCGGCGUGCCUAACACAUGCAAGUCGAGCGGUAACGCGGGAGCAAUCCUGGCGACGAGCGGCGAACGGGUGAGUAAUGCUUCGGAAUCUACCCAGUAGUGGGGAAUAACCAACCGAAAGGUUGGCUAAUGCCGCAUACGACCUACGGGUGAAAGCAGGGGAUCGUAAGACCUUGCGCUAUUGGAUGAGCCGAAGUCGGAUUAGCUAGUUGGUAGGGUAACGGCCUACCAAGGCGACAAUCCGUAGCUGGUCUGAGAGGA